AUACGGAGGAUCCGAGCGUUAUCCGGAUUUAUUAGGUUUAAAGGGUGCGCAGGCGGAACUGUAAGUCACCGGUGAGAUCCUACAGCUUAACUGUAGAACUGCCGGUGAUACUGCGAUUCUUGAGUAUAGUUGAGGUAGGCGGAAUGUGUAGUGUAGCGGUGAAAUGCAUAGAUAUUACACAGAACACCGAUUGCGAAGGCAGCUUACUAAACUAUUACUGACGCUCAUGCACGAAAGCGUGGGGAGCGAACAGGAUUAGAAACCCGAGUAGUCC
rnacentral:rRNA from 1 species